GAGUUUGAUCCUGGCUCAGAUUGAACGCUGGCGGCAUGCCUUACACAUGCAAGUCGAACGGUAACGGGCCUUCGGGUGCCGACGAGUGGCGAACGGGUGAGUAAUGUAUCGGAACGUGCCUUUCAGUGGGGGAUAACGUAGCGAAAGUUACGCUAAUACCGCAUAUUCUGUGAGCAGGAAAGCAGGGGAUCGCAAGACCUUGCGCUGAUUGAGCGGCCGAUAUCAGAUUAGCUAGUUGGUGAGGUAAAGGCUCACCAAGGCGACGAUCUGUAGCGGGUCUGAGAGGAUGAUCCGCCACACUGGAACUGAGACACGGUCCAGACUCCUACGGGAGGCAGCAGUGGGGAAUUUUGGACAAUGGGGGCAACCCUGAUCCAGCCAUGCCGCGUGAGUGAAGAAGGCCUUCGGGUUGUAAAGCUCUUUCGGCCGGGAAGAAAUCGUAUGGGCUAAUACCCUGUGCGGAUGACGGUACCGGCAUAAGAAGCACCGGCUAACUACGUGCCAGCAGCCGCGGUAAUCCC
rnacentral:rRNA from 1 species